UUGGGAUGGUUGCCGCUGCUAGGUGGAUUGCAAAGCUCUCAGGGCCUUGUCUGGCACAAGCAUUGCAGAUGUACCCAGACUUCAAAAUAAAGGUUGUUGGACAUUCACUGGGAGGUGGUACAGCUGCUCUGUUGACAUACGUUCUGAGGGAACAGAAGGAGUUUGCCUCUACUACUUGUCUGGCAUUUGCUCCAGCUGCAUGUAUGACAUGGAAACUGGCAGAGUCAGGAGUGCAUUUUAUCACUACAGUCAUCAACGGAGCUGAUCUGGUUCCAACAUUUUCUGCUGCGUUAGUAGACGAUCUU